GGCUGGGUUGGCUCAGUGGUUAGAGCGUAGGUCUCGUAACCGAAAGGUCACGGGAUCGAAUCCCGCUAGAGGCUG
rnacentral:tRNA from 1 species